ACUGCAAAGUGGAAAAACCGCUUCCCGUAUGAUUACUGAAGUUAAGCAACAUCGAACCUGGUAGGUACAUAGAUGGGUGACCGCUUAGGAAUGGCAGGUGCUGUAA